GGUGGGACCUGGUGGAUCUGAAGAAGAUUGAGGGGCACCAAGGUGGGACCUGGAGAAGGUUUGGGGUCACCAAGGUGGGACCUGGAGGAUCUGAAGAAGAUUGAGGGGCACCAAGGUGGGACCUGGAGGACCUGGAGAACAUUGAGGGGCACCAAGGUGGGACCUGGAGAAGGUUUGGGGUCACCAAGGUGGGACCUGAUGGACAUUGGGGUCACCAAGGUGGGACCUGGAGAAGGUUUGCGGUCACCA
rnacentral:lncRNA from 1 species